UUCAAACUCUUCUCAUCGGAAAUUUUACUCCAAAGAAAAAACCAUUUUCUUUCUUCAUCUCUCCAAUCUAUCUGCUUAAUCAAAAACAGAUCUUUAUCAAUCAAAAUCAUUUUUUUCUUCAUCUCUCAAAUCCAUCUGCUAUUUCACAUAAAUGAACAUAUCUUCAUGAACCAAAACAAUUAACAGAUCUCCAAUACAUCUACUUCAUGUAUUGGAUGAUUCUUGUUCUUCUUUGGUAUUAUCUAGAUCCGCAAAUUUCUCAGAGAGAAAAAGAUUUGUGCCGAUAAUGGAAGGUGCUUCUUACACCGGGCUUCGUUUUGUACUUCAAUCAACUACUGGAUGAGUCAUCUUCAUCUGAAUUUACUUAGAUGUAUAUGAUGAAAGAAAAUGAGAAACCACUGGUGGUGGUAAAUCAAUGUUUUCAAGAAAGCGCUGUGGUGGAGGUUGUAUGGGCUGAACUGGUGGCGGUAAAUGGGAGAGGGAAUCCGAAUAGCUCGAGAGAGUGCUGGUGGUGAUGGCAUUGUGACUCGGCUCCCACUUGCUUACAACUACAUCAGAUUGAUGAAGGAAAAAAGCAUGGGUAAUUACGUCACCUUCAGAUGUUGUGAGAGCUCUUAUUGUUGCUCGGAUUGUGUAUGCAUGCUACUUUCUAUUUGGAUAUCCGAAGCACUGUAGAAGUAAAAAUGCAGACUUCCAGGGCUCUACUGAUUUAGCCUCUAAAGGACAGAUUCAUUCAUCAUUUCACAAUGCAAAAUUCAAGGAUGUAGUUGUUGACUCUCGUAAUAUAAAUAUGAAGGUUCAGUGUCCUUGUGGAAGCUCAUUGUAAAGAGUGUCAAUGAUUCAGGUUGCACGGGAGGUGUAGGUCGAGGUAAUGUUUGAGAAACGUAGUUAGUGGUGGCUGUAAAGGCAGGGAUGGGUAUUCUGAUGGCAGCUUUGCUACUGUCGGUAUUGCGAAAUGCUGAUUUUCCUUGUGAACUUGGUAGUGGAAGUGGCAAUGAUAGCUUUAAUGGAUCUGCUGUUUUGGUAAGUUUCUCUUUGCGAACUUCUGAGUUUGAUGCUUAUGUUGAUUCCUUACUUGAGUUCUAACUCCAUUUACCAUGCUUGUUAUCAAUUUUCUUGACCUGAUACAAUUCUUUUGAAUGCAUACUUUGACUAAAAUGGUCCUCCAUGGGAUUAUAACUUUUCUUUAUCCUUGUUUUUCAAUUAUCAUUAUUAUUUUUUUGAUAAUGCAUACACUGAAGUAAUCUUUGUUUGUAUUUAAGUAAGACAAACAGAAAGAAUUGUAAUUUCCCGAAUUGCAAAUGUUGAGUUCAAUUAGUGUUAUAGAAAAACUAGGGCUUAACCCGUGCCGUAACGGCACCGGCCUUGAUCUAUGUUGAGUUGUAACAACUAAAGAAUCAUAUGGGCCCUAAUUUCAAUUUUUUGUAUGAUCAUUUUGUUUCCAGUCUCGUUUAGAUAACUCAGCAUUUUUAAUCAUCUA